UGUAUGCUUUGGUGGGAAGCAGCCUCUUUCACUAACUAUUGAGAAAGAAUUUGCUCAAAACUCAGAAAGGGUUAAAUCUGUGGAUCAACAUCCAACUGAACCAUGGAUUCUAGUAAGUUUGUAUUCAGGAACUGUUUGUAUCUGGAACUACCAGUCACAGGUCAUGGAGAAGUCCUUCAAGGUCACUGAGUCACCAGUGAGGUCAGCCAA